rnacentral:lncRNA from 1 species
UUCAUCCCCAAGGGCUGUAACAAAAGCAGGAAAAGUCAGACAGCUUGACGCAUUGACUUGAACUCCAUGUUUGAAGAAGGGGUAGUCACAGCCUCCAUGUGGUGUGGCAUUCAUGAUGCAGUGCCCAGAACAGGCUGUCAGCUGGCCACUGCACCCAUUUGACUCUCUGGAUCAUAGCAACUCCGGGGUGAAAGUUGCUUGGAGCUGUGCUUUGGAAAGCCUAUGUGAAUAAAUGUUUCCUGAUUCUAAAGCUCCGCAGUGAACGGAGGACCGUGUCCUUGCAGGGGAACCAGAGAAGGAGCUGCUUUCCCUGCUCAGGACUCUUGUUUGCUAAUACAAGUGUGUAGUGAAAGCAAACAAACCAAGUGCCUGCCAUAUUCGUGAGAAUACCUAAAAGAGUUGUCAGGCUCAGUGGUCACAUCCUGAAGCAUCUUCAACAGGGGUCCUGAUGCCUGGGAC